AAGGGUAGACCUCCCACCCUUGUGUAUUAUUACUUUGUUGCUUUGGCGAGCUGCCUUCGGGCCUUGUAUGCUCGCCAGAGAAUACCAAAACUCUUUUUAUUAAUGUCGUCUGAGUACUAUAUAAUAGUAAAACUUUCAACAACGGAUCUCUUGGUUCUGGCAUCGAUGAAGAACGCAGCGAAAUGCGAUAAGUAAUGUGAAUUGCAGAAUUCAGUGAAUCAUCGAAUCUUUGAACGCACAUUGCGCCCCUUGGUAUUCCGGGGGGCAUGCCUGUUCGAGCGUCAUUUCAACCCUCAAGCUUAGCUUGGUAUUGAGCUAUGUCAGUAAUGGCAGGCUCUAAAAUCAGUGGCGGCGCCGCUGGGUCCUGAACGUAGUAAUAUCUCUCGUUACAGGUUCUCGGUGUGCUUCUGCCAAAACCCAAAUUUUUCUAUGGUUGACCUCGGAUCAGGUAGGGAUACCCGCUGAACUUAAGCAUAUCAAUAGGCCGGGAGGAAAGAUCAUCACAGAGUUCAUGCCCGAAAGGGUAGACCUCCCCCCUGUGUAUUAUUACUUUGUUGCUGGGCGAGCUGCCUUCGGGCCUUGUAUGCUCGCCAAGAAUACAAAACUCUUUUAUUAAUGUCGUCUGAGUACUAUAUAAUAGUAAACUUUCACAACGGAUCUCUGGUUCUGCAUCGAUGAAGAACGCAGCGAAUGCGAUAAGUAAUGUGAAUUGCAGAAUCAGUGAAUCAUCGAAUCUAUGAACGCACAUGCGCUCUUGGGUAUUCGGGG
rnacentral:rRNA from 1 species